AUUGAACGCUGGCGGCAGGCCUAAAACAUGCAAGUCGAACGAGUGGCGGACGGGUGAGUAAUGUCUGGGAAACUGCCUGAUGGAGGGGGAUAACUCCGGGAACCGGUAGCUAAUACCCCCUACCAUCAGAUGUGCCCAGAUGGGAUUAGAUUGUUGGUGGGUUAACGGCUCACCAAGGCGCAGCUCCCUAGCUGGUCUGAGAGGAUGACCAGCCACCCUGGAACUGAGACACGGUCCAGACUCCUACGGGAGGCAGCAGUGGGGAAUAGUGCACAAUGGGCGCAAGCCUGAUGCAGCCAUGCCGCGUGUAUGAAGAAGGCCUUCGGGUUUGAAAGUACUUUCAGCGGGGAGGCGUUACCCGCAGAAGAAGCACCGGCUAACUCCGUGCCAGCAGCCGCGGUAAUAC
rnacentral:rRNA from 1 species